GCUUACGGCCACACCGCCUGGUUCACGACGAUCUCGUUUGAUCUCGGAAGAUAAGAUAGGGUGGGCCUGGUUAGUACCUGGAUGGGAGACCGCCUGGGAAUACCAGGUGCUGUAAGCU
rnacentral:rRNA from 1 species